GACGAACGCGGCGGCGUGCCUAAUACAUGCAAGUAGAACGCUGAAGGAGGAGCUUGCUUCUCUGGAUGAGUUGCGAACGGGUGAGUAACGCGUAGGUAACCUGCCUGGUAGCGGGGGAUAACUAUUGGAAACGAUAGCUAAUACCGCAUAAUAUUGACUAUUGCAUGAUAGUCAGUUGAAAGGUGCAACUGCACCACUACCAGAUGGACCUGCGUUGUAUUAGCUAGUUGGUGGGGUAACGGCUCACCAAGGCGACGAUACAUAGCCGACCUGAGAGGGUGAUCGGCCACACUGGGACUGAGACACGGCCCAGACUCCUACGGGAGGCAGCAGUAGGGAAUCUUCGGCAAUGGACGGAAGUCUGACCGAGCAACGCCGCGUGAGUGAAGAAGGUUUUCGGAUCGUAAAGCUCUGUUGUAAGAGAAGAACGAGUGUGAGAG
rnacentral:rRNA from 1 species